AAUAUCAAUUAUUAUUAAUAUAAAAAACAUUCACAUUUGUGAUCAACAUCAACAUUCAAUAAAAAUAACAUUCCUAAUCUCGCGAGUGAAUAUUUAAUUUCUAGCCACGGGUUUCCAUAUAAAUAUGACUUUACGUUUGAAGUUGGAAAUUCCAUUAUUUAGAAACUUUAUCACGCAUUUCAUGAGAUAUAAAAAUUCUCUAAUAUAUACUUUUUAAUUUCCAUUUUAAAUUAUGUUUCCUUGUUAUGUGGUUAUUGUGUUUUUAUUAUUAACGAUUCGUUGCAUGUACAGAAAAUGUACAAUUAACAUAUUUAAAUAAAAAGGAGGUAACUGGUGGCCUUAUCGCUUUCGAGCGAUCUCUUCCAGGCAACCACUCUAAGAAAAAAAUAAAAAUUCAGACAACACUAAUGGAUUCAACAGGAAACAAGAAGGCAGGCAGAACAGUAAGCAGAAAGUUAGACAUACGAUAUAAACUACCAUACUGAAAUACCUGUACAGUAGAGAUUUAAAGGAAGAUAGAGAAGAAACUAAGCGGGAAGUGAGUUCCAUAGUCUAAUUGCUCUUAAAGGAUUCGCCGGAAGGAAGAGUUUUGUGAUGGGGGUUAUAGUUUUCGAAAGAGCGAAUGGGCUCCUAAAAAUGUUUAAUCGAGAUAGGAAGGAAUUUUAGGAUCUUUAAUUAGUCCUUUUCAGAUAGUUCAGAUUUAGGGGCGCCCUCAAUCAUACAUGGCACUUGAUACAGAAGUCACGAACGCUCGUUACAGUUUGGAGAGCCGCCAGAGGGCGUUUGACAAAUGUCCCGCAAAAUUAGCUUCAUCUAUUCUACGCUAAUUUAAGUGAUACUUUUAAUAAUCCUAUUUGUAUUAAUUUUUGGCAAUUUUCAUAAUGUUCCUUCAUAAGUUACGCGUCACCUAUUUCUCCAUCUACUUGAAUGAUUACCGGAUAUCGAAGUUCAUAUAACUUUUACACGCGCCUGUAGAACCUGCCUGCAUCCAUAGAAAUGGGCUAUAUCAUUGACUGCUAAAAAUAGAAGACUGAUUAGCGUUUAAAAUGUUUGAAACUAUGACGGUUCUAGUAAGGCAAUUACCGGGGAACCACCGAUUAUGGCUGGCAAGGGACCCCUACAUCCCAGCCUAUCGGAAACGCAGAGAGGAAGAUAUGUGACCGAGAAGCCAAGCAGCAGGGGAGUGUCGAAGUCUCCCCUUUCUUAGAAAGGGACAUUAUUAACUCGAAGGGUCUCUUCUCUGGUCCGGGCCCGGGCGACAACUACUCCGGAAAUGCCAUUAUUGAGAUAUAAACGUAUUAUCAGAAUUAACAAUUUUUGAACUGCAAACGAGCAGGAAGCUCAUCUGAUGUUAAGUGACACCGCCAAUGCCAGAGGGUUCGCGAGUGCGUUGCCGGCCUUAUAAGAAUUGGUGCGCUCUUUUCAUGAAGGAUCUUAAGUCGAAUUGAUUCGGAAAUACAUCAGUGGGCUGGCUAGUGAUGCACGGCAAAAACUGCCUUAAAGAUGUACUAGUGUGCCGAGUGUUGGCUAGAUAAAAUAAAAAUAUAAAGUAUUUAAUUUGCGAAUAUAAGGUUGAAUGGCUUUGCAUAAUUUAAGUACCAUUAAAAUUGU